CUCAAAUGCACACAGGCUAACAGCUGUUAGGUACCACAACUGUCAUGAAGUCAUAAUGGGGCAUUGACACCGGAUGAGAUUCGCACGAUAUUUUCAGAGGAAUCGUGUGAGGCUGAAACAACAACGCCCUACCCUCAGUCGGCCUCGGAGCAUCGCUCUGCAGGGAGCCGACGGGGGAGUGCCGGCCCUCCUGCGUCAGCCUGAUGUUCGCUUUCUCGCCCUGAACCGCCAACAGCGACUUGGAGCAGCUUAAGAAGGGAGGAGUGCUGCAGACCACUUCCUGUGGAAGCAGAGAGGAAGUCGUUGUUUUCAUGACCAUCAAAAUAAAAGAAAAUCUGAUCAUUUAAAGAUGAAAGGAUCUAGGAUGGAAACCAUUGAAGGAGUACUGGCUGUAGCUGAGAACUGGACCGAGUGAGUGUGACGUCAUCCAGGGCUCAACUUUUUAAAAAAAAAUAUGGAGCACAUUUAUUGUGGAUUAACUUUGCUUGUGUUUACUGAUGUCGAAACAAUUUUAAAAAAUAUACAGUGCUCUUCUCGUUAUUGCUAAUGUCAGACUCUUUUUUUUUUCUUUUUUUAAUAUUACGGAUAAGUUUGUUUAUUUUUCCAUAGAAGUCUAUGAGAAAUAGCAGGUACUUCCUGUUUGGAAUGCCAUGGGGGAGGAGUCACUCAGUCCAGUUCUCAUAUAGUGUCAAAAAGCAUGAAGAUGACAGAUGAACAUCUGUGUUUCAACAAACAUUCUACAACCAUCUUAAUAUUAUUUUAACCUGAUAAUCUUCUUCAAUCUGGGAUUUAAAAAAAAAAA